AGCAGCCGCGGUAAUUCCAGCUCCAAUAGCGUAUAUUAAAGUUGUUGCAGUUAAAAAGCUCGUAGUUGAAUUUCGGGAUCAGCAGGUCGGUCGUGCCACUGGUAUGCACUGGCCUUGCUGAUUCCUCCCUCUUGAUGAGCCGUAAUGCCAUUAAUUUGGUGUUGCGGGGAAUCAGGACUGUUACUUUGAAAAAAUUAGAGUGUUUAAAGCAGGCAUGCGCUUGAAUACAUUAGCAUGGAAUAAUGAAAUAGGACGUUCGAUCCUAUUUUGUUGGUUUCUAGGAUUGACGUAAUGAUUAAUAGGGAUAGUUGGGGGCAUUAGUAUUCAAUUGUCAGAGGUGAAAUUCUUGGAUUUAUUGAAGACUAACUACUGCGAAAGCAUUUGCCAAGGAUGUUUUCAUUAAUCAAGAACGAAAGUUAGGGGAUCGAAGACGAUCAGAUACCGUCGUAGUCUUAACCAUAAACUAUGCCGACUAGGGAUUGGAUGAUGUUAAUUUUUUUGAAUGACUCAUUCGGCGCCU
rnacentral:rRNA from 1 species